GCUCGUGUAGCUUAGUGGUAGAGCAUUGUGCUUAUGGGUUAACUAAAUGUAUCACAAAGGUCGUGAGUUCAAUCCUCACCGUGAGCA